CCAUCAUUUAAAGAAAGCGUAAUAGCUCACUGGUCGAGUCGGCCUGCGCGGAAGAUGUAACGGGGCUAAACCAUGCACCGAAGCUGCGGCAGCGACGCUGAUGCGUUGUUGGGUAGGGGAGCGUUCUGUAAGCCUGCGAAGGUGGCCUGUGAGGGUUGCUGGAGGUAUCAGAAGUGCGAAUGCUGACAUAAGUAACGAUAAAGCGGGUGAAAAGCCCGCUCGCCGGAAGACCAAGGGUUCCUGUCCAACGUUAAUCGGGGCAGGGUGAGUCGACCCCUAAGGCGAGGCCGAAAGGCGUAGUCGAUGGGAAACGGGUUAAUAUUCCCGUACUUGGUGUUACUGCGAAGGGGGGACGGAGAAGGCUAUGUUGGCCGGGCGACGGUUGUCCCGGUUUAAGCGUGUAGGUGUGUGUUCCAGGUAAAUCCGGUUCACUUUAACACUGAGGCGUGACGACGAGGCACUACGGUGCUGAAGCAACAAAUGCCCUGCUUCCAGGAAAAGCCUCUAAGCAUCAGGUAACAUCAAAUCGUACCCCAAACCGACACA
rnacentral:rRNA from 1 species